CAACAGGGAUUGCCCUAGUAACGGCGAGUGAAGCGGCAACAGCUCAAAUUUGAAAUCUGGCCCCUGGGUCCGAGUUGUAAUUUGUAGAGGAUGCUUUUGGUGCGGUGCCUUCCGAGUUCCCUGGAACGGGACGCCAUAGAGGGUGAGAGCCCCGUCUGGUCGGAUACCAAUCCUCUGUAAAGCUCCUUCGACGAGUCGAGUAGUUUGGGAAUGCUGCUCUAAAUGGGAGGUAUAUGUCUUCUAAAGCUAAAUAUUGGCCAGAGACCGAUAGCGCACAAGUAGAGUGAUCGAAAGAUGAAAAGCACUUUGAAAAGAGGGUUAAACAGUACGUGAAAUUGUUGAAAGGGAAGCGCUUGUGACCAGACUUGGGCCCGGUUAAUCAUCCACCGUUCUCGGUGGUGCACUUGGCCGGCCCAGGCCAGCAUCAGUUCGGCGCGGGGGAUAAAGGCGUCGGGAAUGUGGCUCCCCCGGGAGUGUUAUAGCCCGUCGUGUAAUACCCUGCGCUGGACUGAGGUUCGCGCAUCUGCAAGGAU
rnacentral:rRNA from 1 species